AUUGAACGCUGGCGGCAGGCCUAACACAUGCAAGUCGAACGAGUGGCGGACGGGUGCGUACUGUCUGGGAAACUGCCUGAUGGAGGGGGAUAACUACUGGAAACGGUAGCUAAUCCCGCAUACCAUCAGAUGUGCCCAGAUGGGAUGAGCUUGUUGGUGCGGUAACGGCUCAACAAGGCGACGAUCCCUCGCUGGUCUGCGAGGAUUACCAGCAACACUGUAACUUAGACACGGUCCAGACUCCGCCGGGAGGCAGCAGUGGGGAAGAGUGCACAAGGGGCGCAAGCCUGAUGCAGCCAUGCCGCGUGUAUGACGAAGGCCUUCGGGUUGUAAAGGACUUGCAGCGGGGAGGCGUUACCCGCAGAAGAAGCCCCGGCUAACUCCGUGCCAGCAGCCGCGGUAAUUC
rnacentral:rRNA from 1 species